rnacentral:rRNA from 1 species
GACGAACGCUGGCGGCGUGCUUAACACAUGCAAGUCGAACGGAAAGGCCCUGCUUUUGUGGUGUGCUCGAGUGGCGAACGGGUGAGUAACACGUGAGUACCCUGCCUGUGAUUUUGGGAUAACUUCAGGAAACUGGGGCAAAUACCGGAUAGGAGCUCCUGCGGCAUGGUGGGGGUUGGAAAGUUUCGGCGGUUGGGGUUGGACUCGCGGGUUAUCAGCUUGUUGGUGGGGUAGUGGCUUACCAAGGCUUGGACGGAUAGCCGGCCUGAGAGGGGGAACGGCCACAAGGGGACUGAGAGACGGCGCAGACGCCAACGGGAGGCAGCAGUGGGGAGUCUUACACAGUGGUCGGGAGCCUGAGGCGGCGACGCCGGGGGCGGGAUGCCGGCCUUCGGGUUGAAAACCGCUUGCGCCUGUGACGGAGCGGGGGUGACGGUAAUGGGUGAAGAAGCACCGGCUAACUACGUG